UUGUGAAAGCCUUCCGCUCAACGGGAGAACGGCAGCCGAUACUGCAUAGCUUGAGUGCGGGAGGGGAGAGUGGAACUUCUGGUGGAGCGGUGAAAUGCGUAGAUAUCAGAAGGAACGCCGGCGGCGAAAGCGGCUCUCUGGCCCGUAACUGACGCUGAGUGUGCGAAAGCUAGGGGAGCAAACGGGAUUAGAUACCCCGGUAGUCCUAGCCGUAAACGAUGGGCACUAAGUAGAGGG
rnacentral:rRNA from 1 species